UACGAAGGGGGCUAGCGUUGCUCGGAAUUACUGGGCGUAAAGCGCGUUCAGGCGGUUUGGCAAGUCGGGCAUGAAAUCUCUCGGCUCAACCGGGAGAGGUUGUCCGAUACUGCUGGACUUGAGGGCAGUAGAGGGUGGUGGAAUUCCGGGUGUAGUGGUGAAAUGCGUAGAUAUCCGGAGGAACACCAGUGGCGAAAGCGGCCACCUGGACUGCACCUGACGCUGACACGCGAAAGCUAGGGGAGCGAACGGG
rnacentral:rRNA from 1 species